rnacentral:rRNA from 1 species
GACGAACGCUGGCGGCGUGCUUAACACAUGCAAGUCGAACGGAAAGGCCCUGCUUUUGUGGGGUGCUCGAGUGGCGAACGGGUGAGUAACACGUGAGUAACCUGCCCUUGACUUUGGGAUAACUUCAGGAAACUGGGGCUAAUACCGGAUAGGAGCUCCUGCUGCAUGGUGGGGGUUGGAAAGUUUCGGCGGUUGGGGAUGGACUCGCGGCUUAUCAGCUUGUUGGUGGGGUAGUGGCUUACCAAGGCUCUGACGGGGUAGCCGGCCUGAGAGGGUGACCGGCCACAUUGGGACUGAGAUACGGCCCAGACUCCUACGGGAGGCAGCAGUGGGGAAUAUUGCACAAUGGGCGGAAGCCUGAUGCAGCAACGCCGCGUGCGGGAUGACGGCCUUCGGGUUGUAAACCGCUUUCGCCUGUGACGAAGCGUGAGUGACGGUAAUGGGUAAAGAAGCACCGGCUAACUACGUG